rnacentral:tRNA from 1 species
GGGGUUUUCGCUCAGCUGGUUAGAGCGAACGACUUAUAAUCGUUAGGUCCCCGGUUCAAGUCCGGGCAUCGCCACCA